ensembl:lncRNA novel transcript
GAUCUCGGUCCAAAGAGGCUCCACUUAUCUGACAAGUUUCUGUCCUUAUCCCCACUUCCAGAGUCCAUGGUGCUAGGAUUUGGGCCAGGCCUGCCACGCCACUGCUUAACCCAAGCUGCACACCAAACAAUGAUCACGUUUGAAUUUUCUCAAACGCUCAACAGAUCCAUUCAUGUGUUACUGAUGCUGCCGGUCCCAAGACCACACCUUGAGGACCACUGCUCCCAAGGUUCAAGUAAUGGUCUUUUGAAACAAACAAAAAAAAUCUACUUAGCUCCUCAUUUUCAACCUGCAAGAGCUGGCAGCCUCCACCUUCUGCAAUCGAAACACCUGAUACCUUGCUCAGGCCUAGCAGGGAGGAGAGAACAAGACUUAUUCUUUAUUCUGUGCUUGUCUGGAAGAACUGAGAAGAAAGUAAGAUGGUUGAAAAGGGGGGACAGAUAAAAAGUAAUGAAAAAUGUUGUAUCCUUACUACAAAACAGAAUUUAUACCUUUAAGCUGUGA